rnacentral:lncRNA from 1 species
AGUGCCCAGGAGGCAUAGCAACUGCUCUAAGUCAGAAGUCAGUGACGAGCAAACUGCAAAGCUGCUUGAUAAGCUCAAGGAUAGUCUAGAAGUUUCCACCUUGGUUAUAUGUCCAUGGAAGGAUAAGCUGUUUCCUGGAUUGAACUUCUCUGUGAGAAACCUUUAGUUUCUUUAGUGACUUGAUUCUUUUCAUAUAUAUAUCCAGGGACCAACGGAUUGACUGGUUAAAGAGAUUCUGGCACCGUAGAGCUGGCGACCCAUCCCAGAAGGCCCGGAACAUCCUUCCUCUACACCCGGAUUCCUCCUUCCUCCUUUGGAAGUAGCAGUUUAGAAAAGACAUUCUCACCUCUAGAUAUACACUGCAACUGCUGCAGCACCAAAUCAAAGCUUCCCUCGUGACCAUUUCAUCUUCUUCUUCUAAUUAAAUGGGAAUAUUUAAAUUCUACAUAUAGCCCAAUUUAAGCAGGA